UGAGCCUCUACUUAAGGGCCCC
rnacentral:siRNA from 1 species